CAGAAUCAUUGACAGACUACAGGAG
rnacentral:misc_RNA from 1 species